AUCACAUCUAAUACGAAAUUUAUCAAUUCGCUUCCGUGUGUUGAACGCGUGGCGACCAGUCUUUCAGUAUGUUUGCUAGAGAUAUCGUUUAAUAUAAAAUAGGAUUAAGUACGAAAAUAUUCGACUCCGCCGGGACUCGAACCCGGAACCUUUGAAUGUCUCCCUCCGCUAGAAGUCCAAUGCGCUAUCCAUUGCGCCACGGAGCCCACACCUGUUGGAUCUCAACUACAAAACUGACAUGACUAAUCCACAUAGAAAGGUACGCAACUCCUGUUAUAUAAACACUUGCAUGCUGUAUAUUUAGGCAGAGCAGCGGAGAAACUAAGUAGAAAUCUAAGCAGCAAAAUUCACGAUACUCGUCUCAUCGCGUAAAAUCAGUUGCGCAACUCACUCACGCAUGCGUCAUAACAUCAGAAAUCCAGUCUUCCGCCAUUCCAAAUCGAACAGCGCAGGUGCAGCUCCUGCUAGUUCCACGCAGUCCUUUGUUACGUCAGACGUUCACCCCACUCACGCAUACACCGUACUGGUCGCUGCUGCAGAAAAUUUAGUGGCGCGCGCACGCUCGUGAAGUUAUUACAUAUCAAAGAACAUUUUUGCAGAUAUCUACAGGGCCCCCCUGAAAACUGGUCACCAGGGUAGGCAGCUCUGAUGUGGGCAUGGAAGUGCUUUAACAGCAGUGUUCUGGAGAAUAUCACCUUAGACAUUGGAUGUGCCAGAAACAAGUCAUCUCACUUCCCUGAAGGUGGCCCUUGAAGAAACACCAUGAAAUUAUACCAUAUUUUUAUUCUUUAUGUAGUGCCAUCAUAUCAGUCCCCAUGCCAAUGGAGCUUACAAUCUAUGGUCUCAUUCAUGCACAUUAUUGUCAAAUAAAGUGUAAAAUAUUGUCAA